AACCACCAUCUUCUCCGAUCAGUCAAACAGAAUCCGACCAGAAUUGCAGGAAAACAAAUCUUAUCAAAAAUGAAAAACAAGGGCAUGGAAAUGAAGCUCAUGUGAUGUAGAUCAUCACUGUACCAAUAGAUUCUUUUCAUUCUUCCUAUAUUGAGAGAAAGACGAAGGAGAAAAUCAUGGUAUCCACACAGAAUGCUCUUGAAAUGGAAAAUUG
rnacentral:lncRNA from 1 species